AAACCAACAGGGAUUGCCCCAGUAACGGCGAGUGAAGCGGCAAGAGCUCAAAUUUGAAAGCUGGCUCCUUCGGGGUCCGCAUUGUAAUUUGUAGAGGAUGCUUCGGGAGCGGUCCCCAUCUAAGUGCCCUGGAACGGGACGUCAUAGAGGGUGAGAAUCCCGUAUGGGAUGGGGUGUCCGCGCCCGUGUGAAGCUCCUUCGACGAGUCGAGUUGUUUGGGAAUGCAGCUCUAAAUGGGUGGUAAAUUUCAUCUAAAGCUAAAUAUUGGCCGGAGACCGAUAGCGCACAAGUAGAGUGAUCGAAAGAUGAAAAGCACUUUGAAAAGAGAGUUAAAAAGCACGUGAAAUUGUUGAAAGGGAAGCGCUUGCGACCAGACUCGCUCGCGGGGUUCAGCCGGCAUUCGUGCCGGUGUACUUCCCCGCGGGCGGGCCAGCGUCGGUUUGGGCGGUCGGUCAAAGGCCCUCGGAAGGUAACGCCCCUAGGGGCGUCUUAUAGCCGAGGGUGCAAUGCGACCUGCCUAGACCGAGGAACGCG
rnacentral:rRNA from 1 species